rnacentral:rRNA from 1 species
AACGAACGCUGGCGGCAUGCCUAACACAUGCAAGUCGAACGAGACCUUCGGGUCUAGUGGCGCACGGGUGCGUAACGCGUGGGAACCUGCCCUUAGGUUCGGAAUAACUCCCCGAAAGGGGUGCUAAUACCGGAUAAUGUCUUCGGACCAAAGAUUUAUCGCCUUUGGAUUGGCCCGCGUUGGAUUAGCUAGUUGGUAGGGUAAAAGCCUACCAAGGCGACGAUCCAUAGCUGGUCUGAGAGGAUGAUCAGCCACACUGGGACUGAGACACGGCCCAGACUCCUACGGGAAGCAGCAGUGGGGAAUAUUGGACAAUGGGCGAAAGCCUGAUCCAGCAAUGCCGCGUGAGUGAUGAAGGCCUUAGGGUUGUAAAGCUCUUUUACCCGGGAUGAUAAUGACAGUACCGGGAGAAUAAGCGCCGGCUAACUCCGUG